AGCUUUGCGCAGUGGCGAUAUCGUAACCAAUGAGGUCCUACCGAGGUGCGAUUAUUGCUAGUUGAAAACUUUUACCAAUACCACGCCAUGACGAUGUGAAAACUGCCUUUGCGAUAGCGAUUCGUUAUAGUUACGAGUUAUGCGCAAAAUAUUGC